rnacentral:rRNA from 1 species
CGCUGGCGGCGUGCCUAAUACAUGCAAGUAGAACGCUGAAGGAGGAGCUUGCUUCUCUGGAUGAGUUGCGAACGGGUGAGUAACGCGUAGGUAACUGCCUGGUAGCGGGGGAUAACUAUUGGAAAACGAUAGCUAAUACCGCAUAAGAGUAGAUGUUGCAUGACAUUUGCUUAAAAGGUGCAAUUGCAUCACUACCAGAUGGACCUGCGUUGUAUUAGCUAGUUGGUGAGGUAACGGCUCACCAAGGCAACGAUACAUAGCCGACCUGAGAGGGUGAUCGGCCACACUGGACUGAGACACGGCCCAGACUCCUACGGGAGGCAGCAGUAGGGAAUCUUCGGCAAUGGGACGGAAGUUCUGCCCGGAGCAACCACCGCGUGAGUGAAAGA